rnacentral:lncRNA from 1 species
UUUUUUUUUAUACCAGGAAUUGGACUCAGGGACACUGAACCACUGAGCCACAUCCCUAGCCAUUUUUACUUUUUGAGACAGUGUCUUGCAAAGUUCUUUAGGGCCUCAUUUUUAACUUGCCAUCCUUCUAUCUGAGCCUCCUAAAUCACUGGGAAUAUAGGUGUGCACCAUUGCACCUGGCUAUAUCUGACUAAUUUAAAAGUAAUGUUUUCAUUAUUAUUCAAUUUGAAGUACAAUCCAAAUCUCAUUACAAGUAUAAUGUACUAUUUGACUCAUGGUUACUUAGAAGUUUAUAUUCUUUUUUAAAAAUUUAUUUUAUUUAUUUAUUUUUUAAAAUAUUUAUUUUUUAGUUUUUUUGGGUGGACACAAUAUCUUUAUUUUAUAUUUAUGUGGUGCUGAGGAUUGAACCCAGAGCCUCACACAUGCUAAGCAAGUGCUCUACCCCUGAGCCACAACCCUAGCCCUAGAAGUUUAUAUUAUUAAAGAUGUAUUUUUCCUAUCCAUUUUUGGUUUCAGUCUAAUUCUGUUAUAAUUACUGACCAUGAGAUAUAUGAUUCUGACUUGUGAUGGUUGUGAUGUGAGUUGAAUACUAUCAGCAUUUAGAAAUAUCCUAUUUGGAGCUGGGUAUGGUGGUGUACACCUGUAAUCUCAAUGGUUUGGGAGAGGCUGAGGCAGGAGGAUUGAAAGUUCAAAGCCACCUUGGCAACUUAGAGAUACCCUAAGCAACUUAGCAAGACCCCAACUCAAAAACAAAAAAACAAAAAACAUAAAAAGGGCUGGGGAUAUAGCUCAGUGGUUAAGUGCCCCUGGUUAAAAAAAGAAAAGGAAGGACAACAAAGAAAUAUUCUAUUUGUAUUUAAGUAAUCUGUAUAUUCUAACUUUGGAAUGCAGAGUUUAAUAUCUGUCCAUUGUAUAGUUAGUUACCCAGCCUCAGGUAUUUUAGCAGUGAAAACUAAGACAGCAGCAAAAGCUAAUUUGUAAAGUCACCCAAUGGCUGAGGACAAUUCUUGGCUAUAAGCUUUAAAAGCUGCAAUGAAAGUUUAUUAUUGAUAAGUCAAGAAACUGAUAUGUGGUUAGUUAAGUCAGUAUAUCAACCCGUAUUUCUAACAGAAAUUUAGGGAACUGACCAUAGUUAAGUUCAUCACAAUAAAUGAAGUUCACCAUUGACAUUACUGGUUCAAUAAUGAGUGAUAGUUAAAUAUUUACCUUAGAGUAACUGCUGAUAAAUAAUACAAUGAAUAACUAUACGUUUAUAUUUUCACAAAUUUUGUAAAUUUGUCUAAUAGUCUUAGACUGUCACUGUUUGACCCAUCUGUUACUCAGAAGUUUAGAGUCUUAAAAAUAUACUUUUUUUGUUUGUUUGUUUCAGUCUAAUUAUAUUGUGGUUAUAGAACAUGGAAUAUGUGUCUCUGACUUGUGAUUUGAAUUGACUGUUGUCAGCAUUUAUAAAUACUCUAUUUAUAGGAUAUUUAUUGCCACCAGUAGUAACACAUUUUAGUAUGUUCUACUUCAGGCUUUUUCCAGUUUGUUUGAAAGUAUUCUCACAUAUUGUUGUUCCAUGCAGAUUACUCAUAAAGGCUAAUUCUUUAGUUACUUUAACUCAGCAAAUAUCAUUCAAAGAAACAACUA